rnacentral:rRNA from 1 species
ACGGAAGGCAGCAGUAAGGGAUAUUGCACAAUGGGGGAAACCCUGAUGCAGCAACGCCGCGUGAGGGAAGAAGGUUUUCGGAUUGUAAACCUCUGUUUUCAGUGAAGAAACAAAUGACGGUAGCUGAAGAGGAAGCCACGGCUAACUACGUGCCAGCAGCCGCGGUAAUACGUAGGUGGCAAGCGUUGUCCGGAUUUACUGGGUGUAAAGGGUGCGCAGGCGGGACUGCAAGUUGGAUGUGAAAUACCGGAGCUCAACUCCGGAGCUGCAUCCAAAACUGUGGUUCUUGAGUGAAGUAGAGGUAGGCGGAAUUCCGAGUGUAGCGGUAAAAUGCGUAGAUAUUCGGAGGAACACCAGUGGCGAAGGCGGCCUACUGGGCUUUAACUGACGCUGAGGCACGAAAGCAUGGGGAGCAAACAGGAUUAGAUACCCUGGUA